rnacentral:rRNA from 1 species
UACGUAGGGUGCGAGCGUUGUCCGGAAUUAUUGGGCGUAAAGAGCUCGUAGGCGGUUUGUCGCGUCGACUGUGAAAACCCGAGGCUUAACCUCGGGCCUGCAGUCGAUACGGGCAGACUAGAGUUCGGUAGGGGAGACUGGAAUUCCUGGUGUAGCGGUGAAAUGCGCAGAUAUCAGGAGGAACACCGGUGGCGAAGGCGGGUCUCUGGGCCGAUACUGACGCUGAGGAGCGAAAGCGUGGGGAGCAAACAGG